UUGCUAUGAUGAAUAUUUGUGCUCAAUGCGGUGAUUUGGGUCUCCGCAUUUGUCCUUUGGACGAAAACUUGCGCAUCUGAGCUU
rfam:Nicotiana sylvestris Nsyl_contig179060, whole genome shotgun sequence.